UUAGCAAGGUCAUCGGAUCGGUGCUAUUGUAGUUGUUUCGGCAACUCGACCGGUGCUGAGAAGACGACCAAACUUGAUCAUUUAGAGGAAGUAAAAGUCGUAACAAGGUUUCCGUAGGUGAACCUGCGGAAGGAUCAUUACAGUAAUCCAAAAAAAAUACAACUCAGUUUUACUGAGAUGUUGGGUUUGUAAUAACCCAAGCGAACUAACAGGUUUAUCCUGUUAAAACCACGCAGAAUGGUCUGCCUACGGUGGAGCGCUCCAGUUCUACCAAUCCCAGGCUAUACCUGGUGCACUUGUGUACCUACGUAUAGUCCUCAAUGACAGGGUGCCUACUUGUCUGAUGCUAUCGGGAUGCUCGCAGCCUUGUGCUGUCAGUUAAUCUUGUUAGUGACGAGUUGUGCUACCUCUCGAGGUAGUGCUAGGCUUAAAGAGUGGUGUUUGACUACGGUUGGCCCACCGCCCUGUUUGUUUGUUUCCACAAUCAUUUUACACUGUUAAAGUGGUUCAAGUUGGCUUCGGCUGGUUUGGAUCAUUGCCCCCAACAUGCACCUGGCGUGAGCUAGUCUGCACGUUUAGUCGCCUGGCGGUGCCUUAUCCCAGGUAGGACUACAAAAACCUUAGUUCAUUUGGGAAACCAAUGAUCUAGGUUAGUACAACUCUGAGCGGUGGAUCACUCGGCUCGUGUGUCGAUGAAGAGUGCAGCCAACUGUGUGAAUUAAUGUGAACUGCAUACUGCUUUGAACAUCGACAUCUUGAACGCACAUUGCGGCCAUGGGCUAGCUCAUGGCCACGCCUGUCCGAGGGUCGGCUUAUAAACUAUCACGACGCCCAAAAAGUCGUGGCUUGGGUCUUGCCAGCUGACGUGAUUUCCCUAUUGGUGCAAACUAACGGGGUGUCAGAUCUAUGGCGUUUCCCUAAUAAUUCCAGUUACAACCUCCUUUUGGCUGAAGGCUAUAUUGGAGGGUGACUGUGGAGUCGUGGCUCAAUGGUUAUGUUUGCGCGCGCUCUGCAUUGUCACCACUGUAUCUGUCAAACGUGAAAUGCUUUGUGCAUUUUACCUGACCUCGGAUCAGACGUGAAUACCCGCUGAACUUAAGCAUAUCACUAAGCGGAGGAAAAGAAACUAACAAGGAUUCCCUUAGUAACGGCGAGUGAACAGGGAAAAGCCCAGCACCGAAGCCUGUGGCCAUUUGGUCAUUAGGCAAUGUGGUGUUUAGGUCGUUCCACAGAGGUUCUGCUCCAUCCUAAGUCCAUCAAUGAGUACGGUAGUAUGGACAUGGCCCAUUGAGGGUGAAAGGCCCGUGGGGGUGGAGACAUCGAAAGGCCAGAGCCUCUCUGGGUAGACCUUGGAGUCGGGUUGUUUGUGAAUGCAGCCCAAAGCGGGUGGUAAACUCCAUCC
rnacentral:rRNA from 1 species